rnacentral:lncRNA from 1 species
AAAGAAUAGCUGAUUAAUCAUCUACCCUUUGUUUAAAGAAUCUUUUGUACUCCAGAGUGAAGUCCAACCAGAAGAAGGAUCCAAUAUAAAGGAAAAUGAAGAUGUUGCUUGAGUUCCUCAGUAAACCAGAAAAAAAAAUCCUUCAAUGCUGAUAAAUCUUCAGGGCUAAUGAAAGCCAAGAAGGGGAUAAUCACAUGCAAAAAUGCUACAGAGUAAGCUGGCUGAUGUCUCCCCGUUUGGGGUGAAGUUUCCUUUUCCUCGACUGCUUCUUCCUUAAGACAUGCUCAGCUGUGGCUGAAAGAGGCUGGAGAAAGUCUCACGAUACUGCUGACUUGGGUCCAUUAUA